rnacentral:rRNA from 1 species
CUGGCGGCGCGCUUAACACAUGCAAGUCGAACGCUCAUCUUUCCUUCGGGGGAGUGGGAGUGGCGAACGGGUGCGUAACACGUGAGCAACCUGCCCGGAUAUGGGGGAUAACUGCUGGAAACGGCAGCUAAUACCGCUGGGCUCCUUGGUUGAUUGGUUGGGGAUUGAAAGGUGCUUGCAAGGCACUGUGUCCGGAGGGCUCGCGGCGUAUCAGUAGUUGGUGAGGUAAUGGCUCACCAAGCCUACGACGCGUACUGAUCUGAGAGGAUGAUCAGCCACAUUGGGACUGAGAUACGGCCCAGACUCCUACGGGAGGCAGCAGUGGGGAAUCUUGCGCAAUGGCCGAAAGGCUUGACGCAGCGACGCCGCGUGCGGGAGGACGCCCCUUGGGGUGUAAACCGCUUGUCAGGGGGGACGAACCACCCGGGGAGGCAAUUGCCCCGGGUCUUGACGGUACCCCCAGAGGAAGCACCGGCUACUCCUUGCCAGCAAGCCCGCGGUAAUACGGAGGGUGCAAAGCGUUGUUCGGAAUUACUGGGCGUAAAAGCGCGCCUAGCGGACUUUAAAGUCUCACUGUGAAAGACCGGGGCUUAACCCCGAGCGAGCAAGGGAUACUUGGAGGGCUUGGAAACCCGGUAAAAGG